GGUGAAUGUAGCUCAGUUGGUUAGAGCGUCAGAUUGUGGUUCUGAAGGUCGCGGGUUCGAGACCCGUCCUUCACCC
rnacentral:tRNA from 1 species